rnacentral:rRNA from 1 species
AUGAACGCUGGCGGCGUGCCUAAUACAUGCAAGUCGAGCGAACAGACGAGGAGCUUGCUCCUCUGACGUUAGCGGCGGACGGGUGAGUAACACGUGGAUAACCUACCUAUAAGACUGGGAUAACUUCGGGAAACCGGAGCUAAUACCGGAUAAUAUAUUGAACCGCAUGGUUCAAUAGUGAAAGACGGUUUUGCUGUCACUUAUAGAUGGAUCCGCGCCGCAUUAGCUAGUUGGUAAGGUAACGGCUUACCAAGGCAACGAUGCGUAGCCGACCUGAGAGGGUGAUCGGCCACACUGGAACUGAGACACGGUCCAGACUCCUACGGGAGGCAGCAGUAGGGAAUCUUCCGCAGUGGGCGAAAGCCUGACGGAGCAACGCCGCGUGAGUGAUGAAGGUCUUCGGAUCGUAAAACUCUGUUAUUAGGGAAGAACAAAUGUGUAAGUA